AGUGAACGCUGGCGGUAGGCCUAACACAUGCAAGUCGAACGGCAGCACAGGAGAGCUUGCUCUCUGGGCGGCGAGUGGCGGGCGGGUGAGGAAUACAUCGGAAUCUACUCUGUCGUGGGGGAUAACGUAGGGAAACUUACGCUAAUACCGCAUACGACCUACGGGUGAAAGCAGGGGACCUUCGGGCCUUGCGCGAUUGAAUGAGCCGAUGUCGGAUUAGCUAGUUGGCGGGGUAAAGGCCCACCAAGGCGACGAUCCGUAGCUGGUCUGAGAGGAUGAUCAGCCACACUGGAACUGAGACACGGUCCAGACUCCUACGGGAGGCAGCAGUGGGGAAUAUUGGACAAUGGGCGCAAGCCUGAUCCAGCCGUACCGCGUGGGUGAAGAAGGCCUUCGGGUUGUAAAGCCCUUUUGUUGGGAAAGAAAUCCAGCUGGCUAAUACCCGGUUGGGAUGACGGUACCCAAAGAAUAAGCACCGGCUAACUUCGUGCCAGCCGCCGCCGCCG
rnacentral:rRNA from 1 species